rnacentral:antisense_RNA from 9 species
AAUAACCGAAAAUAAUACUUGGGCUAAGGGUUAAGUUAGUAAUUUUUCUUACAUCUCCCCCCCCCCCCGGAGCCCAGGUAUCAUAUACGCCCCCAAAAUAAAGAGCCUUGAAUACUAGAAGAAAAGCACCUAUACCUAGCAAGAUUAAGUGAAUACCUAAAUUUGUUGUCAUUUUAUUUCUAUCUUUCCA